UCCCCGUCCCCGCGAGACCCGGAAGCCCCACGGAGAUCAGAGCGCAGCCCCGGAACUCCCAGGACCGGCCGAUUCAGGGGCGAUACUGCCCCAGCUUUUCCCCCGCCACGUACCUCCCAGCCUCUCCAGCAUCACCCUACGCCUCUCGCUCGCGCGGCCCCGAGCCGCCUCAGUCCCCUCUUCUCCGGGAUGCUCCCCAGGGCUUCCCCCGCUCGGUGCCUGCCUGGCACAGUGAGCCCCCCACGCUCGGGCGGCCCCACACCGCCCUGGUGCGCCGCCUUGCCCCCUCAACGGCCCCAGCGUGGUUCUCCUCGAGCCUGUCCCCGUGUGCCACCAGACCCCUCUUGCAUCCCCACCGCUUGUGUCACAUUGCCAGGGGUGGAUCCGCGGCUUGUACAGGACCCGCAGCCCCGAACAUGGACCGCUCGUCCCAGCUCACCUUCUCCGCGGCUGCAGCUGCUGCUCCAAUCCUGGCUGGCGAUGGUCGGCGUCUCCGUUGUCCCAGACCGCCCCGGCAUGAAAAGCACUGUAAGAGCUCUAAAGACCAAGGUGUCAGUGGAACCUCUCCAGGGACAGGAUCUGGACUGCAUGCUGUGCCCUGAUAAGAGGUCCCUCCGAUUCUGCACAAGUCAGGGCUCCCACCAUCUGAAGGGAUGUAUGAUUAUCUACACUAUGUUCUUUUUUCUUCUAGCGUUGGCGUCAAUAAAUGGAAAUUUAACCAA